rnacentral:rRNA from 1 species
AGAGUUUGAUCAUGGCUCAGAACGAACGCUGGCGGCGUGGAUAAGACAUGCAAGUCGAACGCUAAUUACCCUGCAGCAAUGUAGGGUAGUUGGAGUGGCGCAAGGGUGCGUAACACGUGGGUAAUUUGCCAUGAAGUUGGGGAUAACUUGCUGAAAGGCGAGCUAAUACCGGAUGUGGAUUUGGAAAGGCAUCUUUCUGGAUCUAAAGUUGGGGACCGCAAGGCCUGACGCUUCAUGAUAAGCCCGCGGCCUAUCAGCUAGUUGGUGAGGUAACGGCUCACCAAGGCUAAGACGGGUAGCUGGUCUGAGAGGACGACCAGCCACACUGGAACUGAGAGACGGUCCAGACACCUACGGGUGGCAGCAGUCGAGAAUUUUUCUCAAUGGGCGAAAGCCUGAAGGAGCGACGCCGCGUGGGGGAUGAAGGGCUUCGGUCCGUAAACCCCUGUCAUUUGCGAACAAACCUUAUCAUUUAAAAGAUGAUGAGCUGAUUGUAGCGAAAGAGGAAGGGACGGCUAACUCUGUGCCAGCAGCCGCGGUAAUACAGAGGUCCCAAGCGUUGUUCGGAUUCACUGGGCGUAAAGGGUGCGUAGGUGGCGGGGUAAGUUUGAUGUGAAAUCUCCGGGCUUAACCCGGAAAAGGCAUUGAAUACUAUUCUGCUGGAGGGUUGGAGGGGGGACUGGAAUUCUCGGUGUAGCAGUGAAAUGCGUAGAUAUCGAGAGGAACACCAGUGGCGAAGGCGAGUCCCUGGACAACACCUGACACUGAGGCACGAAAGCUAGGGGAGCAAACAGGAUUAGAUACCCCGGUAGUCC